AGUGAACGCUGGCGGCAGGCCUAACACAUGCAAGUCGAGCGGCAGCGGGUCCCCGCGAGGGGAUGCCGGCGAGCGGCGGACGGGUGAGGAACACAUCGGAAUCUGCCUGGUUGUGGGGGAUAACGUAGGGAAACUUACGCUAAUACCGCAUGCGACCCUGAGUCGACGGACUUGGGGUGAAAGUGAGGGACCUUCGGGCCUCACGCGACCAGAUGAGCCGAUGUCGGUANAGCUAGUUGGCGGGGUAACGGCCCGCCAAGGCGACGAUCCGUAGCUGGUCUGAGAGGAUGAUCAGCCACACGU
rnacentral:rRNA from 1 species